AUCUAUGGCCAUACCAUCCUGAACACAUCCUAUCACAUCUGAUCUCAGAACCUAAGUAGGGCCAGGCCUGGUUAGUACUUGGAUGGGAGACCGCCUGGGAAUACCAGGUGCUGUAUUUU
rnacentral:rRNA from 1 species